GUGUCAGCCGCCGCGGUAAGACGUAGGGUCCAAGCGUUGUCCGGAUUUACUGGGCGUAAAGAGCGCGUAGGCGGUCUGUUAAGUGUAGAGUGAAAUCUCCAGGGCUCAACCCGGAAACUGCUCUGCAUACUGGCAGACUGGAGUGAUGCAGAGGUUUGUGGAAUUCCUGGUGUAACGGUGAAAUGUGUUGAUAUCAGGAGGAACACCCAUGGCGAAGGCAGCAAACUGGGCAUUAACUGACGCUGAGGCGCGAAAGCGUGGGUAGCAAACAGGAUUAGAUACCCGUGUAGUCC
rnacentral:rRNA from 1 species